rnacentral:rRNA from 1 species
CUACGGGUCGCUGCAGUGAGGAAUAUUGCACAAUGGGGGGAACCCUGAUGCAGCAACGCCGCGCGGAGGAUGACGCAUUUCGGUGUGUAAACUCCUUUUAUAUGUCAAGAAAAUGACGGUAGCAUAUGAAUAAGCACCGGCUAACUCCGUGCCAGCAGCCGCGGUAACACGGAGGGUGCAAGCGUUACUCGGAAUCACUGGGCGUAAAGGACGCGUAGGCGGGUUGGAAAGUCAGGUGUGAAAUCCUACAGCUUAACUGUAGAACUGCACUUGAAACUUCUAAUCUAGAGUAUGGGAGGGGGAGAUGGAAUUAGUGGUGUAGGGGUAAAAUCCGUAGAUAUCACUAGGAAUACCUAAAGCGAAGGCGAUCUCCUGGAACAUUACUGACGCUAAGGCGUGAAAGCGUGGGGAGCAAACAGGAUUAGAUACCCCGGUAGUC